AAGUCCCGUAACGAGCGCAACCCUCGUCUUUAGUUGCUACCAUUUAGUUGGGCACUCUAAAGAAACUGCCGGUGAUAAGCCGGAGGAAGGUGGGGAUGACGUCAAGUCCUCAUGGCCCUUACGCGCUGGGCUACACACGUGCUACAAUGGCGGUGACAGUGGGCAGCAAACUCGCGAGAGUGAGCAAAUCCCCAAAAACCGUCUCAGUUCGGAUUGUUCUCUGCAACUCGAGAGCAUGAAGGCGGAAUCGCUAGUAAUCGCGGAUCAGCAUGCCGCGGUGAAUACGUUCCCAGGCCUUGUACACACCGCCCGU
rnacentral:rRNA from 1 species